AUAAGGUUAAGUUAGUUUAGACUACAUGUUUUCAAAACAUGUUGCGAUACUAUUGUAUCACUUUAUG
rnacentral:tRNA from 1 species